rnacentral:rRNA from 1 species
AGGAUAAACGCUGGCGGCGUGCCUAACACAUGCAAGUCGAACGUCUCUUCUUUCGGGAAGAGGAGUGGCGGACGGGUGAGGAACACGUGGGAACCUGCCCUUUAGUGAGGAAUACCGGCGAGAAAUCGCCGACAAGACCGCAUAGCCCUCUUUGAUGAGAGUCAAAGAAGGAAAGCUUCGCAAGAGGCGCUAGAGGAGGGGCCUGCGUCCGAUUAGCUAGUUGGUGGGGUAAGAGCCUACCAAGGCGUCGAUCGGUAGCUGGUCUGAGAGGACGAUCAGCCACACUGGGAUUGAGAACGGCCCAGACUCCUACGGGGGCAGCAGUGAGGAAUUUUGGACAAUGGGCGAAAGCCUGAUCCAGCAAUGCCGCGUGCAGGAAGAAGGCCUUCGGGUUGUAAACUGCUUUGUACGGAACGAAACGGUCUGCUUUAAUACAGUGGCUAAUGACGGUACCGUAAGAAUAAGCACCGGCUAACUACGUGCCAGCAGCCGC